rnacentral:rRNA from 1 species
AACUGGAGGAAGGUGGGGAUGACGUCAAAUCAUCAUGCCCCUUAUGUCUUGGGCUUCAAGCAUGCUACAAUGGUCGGUACAAUGGGUUGCGAAACUGUGAGGUGGAGCGAAUCCCAAAAAGCCGGCCUCAGUUCGGAUUGGGGUCUGCAACUCGACCCCAUGAAGUCGGAGUCGCUAGUAAUCGCAGAUCAGCAACGCUGCGGUGAAUACGUUCCCGGGCCUUGUACACACCGCCCGUCAAGUCACGAAAGUCGGUAACACCCGAAGCCAGUGGCCCAUCCUCGUGAGGGAGCUGUUAAGGUGGGAUCGGUGAUUGGGACUAAGUCGUAA